UAGGGAAUCUUCCGCAAUGGGCGAAAGCCUGACGGAGCAACGCCGCGUGAGUGAUGAAGGUCUUCGGAUCGUAAAACUCUGUUAUUAGGGAAGAACAAAUGUGUAAGUAACUAUGCACGUCUUGACGGUACCUAAUCAGAAAGCCACGGCUAACUACGUGCCAGCAGCCGCGGUAAUACGUAGGUGGCAAGCGUUAUCCGGAAUUAUUGGGCGUAAAGCGCGCGUAGGCGGUUUUUUAAGUCUGAUGUGAAAGCCCACGGCUCAACCGUGGAGGGUCAUUGGAAACUGGAAAACUUGAGUGCAGGAGAGGAAAGUGGAAUUCCAUGUGUAGCGGUGAAAUGCGCAGAGAUAUGGAGGAACACCAGUGGCGAAGGCGACUUUCUGGUCUGUAACUGACGCUGAUGUGCGAAAGCGUGGGGAUCAAACAGG
rnacentral:rRNA from 1 species